rnacentral:rRNA from 2 species
CCUGGAGGAAUAAGAUCGGCUAACUCCGUGCCAGCAGCCGCGGUAAUACGGGGGAUGCAAGCGUUAUCCGGAAUUAUUGGGCGUAAAGCGCCUGUAGGUUGUUUAGUAAGUCAGUUGUUAAAGACUAGGGCUUAACCCUAGGAAAGCAAUGGAAACUAUUAGACUUGAGUAUGGCAGGGGUAGAGGGAAUUUCUAGUGUAGCGGUGAAAUGCGUAGAUAUUAGAAAGAACACCGGUGGCGAAAGCGCUCUACUGGACCAUUACUGACACUGAGAGGCGAAAGCUAGGGUAGCAAAAGGGAUUAGAUACCCCUGUAGUCCUAGCCGUAAACGAUGGAUACUAGGUGUUGUGCAACUUGUACAGUAUCUUAGCUAACGCGUUAAGUAUCCCGCCUGGGGAGUACGCUCGCAAGGUGAAAAUUCAAAGGAAAAAGUACAGACUUUGUC